CAACUUCAAGUACUGUGCAGGAUUUAUAUGUUCGAUCAUGGCUCAGAUUGAACGCUGGCGGGAUGCUUUACACAUGCAAGUCGAACGUUCGGCACGGACUUCGGUCUGGUGGCGAGUGGCGAACGGGGUGAGAAUGGAACGUGCCCAGUGGGGAUAAUCACGCCGGUGCAAUAUUACCGCAUAAUAGCCCUUCGGGGGAAAGCGGGGGACCUUUUCGGGUUUCGCACUAUUAGGACGCGGCUGAUAUCGGAUUAGCUAGUUGGUGGGUAACGGUCACCGAGAGUGACGAUCCGUAGCUGGUUUGAGAGGACGACCAGCCACACUGGACCCGAGACACGAGCCCAGACUCCUACGGAGGUGCAGUGGGAACGGUUGGGAAACCUUGAUCACAGCCAUCCCGCGUGUGCGAUGAAGGCCUUCGAGGUUGUAAAGCACUUUUGGCAGGAGUUAACGGCACGGGAUAAUACCCCGUGCACCAUUUUUCACCUGUAGAAUGGCACUCAGCGACCGAUGCGCCAGCAGCCGGUGGUAGAAUAUAAAAAGCGUUAAUCGGAAUUACUGGGCGUAAAGCGUGGCAGGCGGUCGGAAAGAAAGAUGGGAAAUCCCAGAGCUUAACUUUGGAACUGUAUUUUAACCACUUAGCUUAGAGUGUGUCAGAGGGAGGUGGAAUCGCGUAGCAGCAAUGGAGAUGGCGGAGGAACACCGAUGGCGAAGGCAGCCUCCUGGGAUAACACUGAUGUCAUGUAUCGAAAGCGUGGGGAGCAAACAGGAUUAGAUACCCCCGGUAGUCCACGCCCUAAAUGAUGUCAACUAGCUGUUGGGGCCUUCGGGGCCUUGGUAGCGCAGCUAACGCGUGAAGUUGACCGCCUGGGGAGUACGGUCGCAAGAUUAAAACUCAAAGGAAUUGACGGGGACCCGCACAAGCGGUGGAUGAUGUGGAUUAAUCUUUUGAUGCAACGCGAAAACCUUACCACUCUUCGACAUGUCUGGAAUCCCGAAGAGAUUUGGGAGGCCUGCAAGAGAACGAACACAGGAAGCAUGGUUGCCGCCAGCUCGUGUCGAGAUGUUGGGUUAAGUCCCGUAAAUGAGCGGCAACCCUUGUCAUUAGUUGCUACGAAAGGGCACUCUAAUGAGAGACUGCCGGUGACAAAUGGAGGAAGGUGGGGAUGACGUCAAGUCCUCAUGGCCCUUAUGGGUAGGGCUUCACACGUCAUACACAUGGCCGGGACAGAGGGUCGCCAACCCGCGAGAGCCAAUCCCAGAAACCCGAUCGUAGUCCGGAUCGCAGUCUGCAACCUCACACUCGUGGGUCGGAAUCGCUAGUAAUCGCGGAUCAGCAUGUCGCGGUGAAUACGUUCCCGGUCUUGUACACACCGCCCGUCACACCAUGGGAGUGGUUUUACCAGAAGUAGUUAGCCUAACCGUAAGGAGGGCGAUUACCACGGUAGGAUUCAUGAUCAGUAGCGCUCGCAAUAAGGUAG
rnacentral:rRNA from 1 species